UUACGGCCAUAUCUCGUUGAAACGGUGGCUCUCAUACGAUCACCGAAGUUAAGCAACAUCAUGCAUGGUUAGUACCUAGAUGGGUGACCGAUUGGAAAUAUCAUCUGUCGUAAG